rnacentral:misc_RNA from 1 species
GCUGAUGAUGCUCGACAACCUUUGAGUCGAGUGGUGCCUAUUUCUUCAUCUCACCUGACCCCAUAUCGUGUUGUAAUCAUUCUCCGGCUUAUUAUUUUGGGUUUCUUCUUGCAAUAUCGUACAACUCAUCCGGUGAAAGAUGUAUACCCAUUGUGGCUAACAUCAGUUAUUUGUGAGAUUUGGUUUGCCUUGUCAUGGCUUUUGGAUCAGUUUCCAAAAUGGUCUCCCAUCAACCGCGAGACCUACCUUGACAGGCUUGCUUUGAGAUAUGAUCGUGAAGGGGAACCAUCACAGUUAGCACCUGUUGAUGUCUUUGUUAGUACAGUGGAUCCCCUUAAAGAACCUCCUCUUGUUACAGCAAACACUGUUUUGUCCAUACUUGCUGUUGAUUACCCUGUCGACAAAGUAUCUUGCUAUGUUUGUUUCAGACGAUGGUUCAGCAAUGUUGACAUUUGAAGCCCUUUCCGAAACUGCAGAGUUCGCAAGGAAAUGGGUGCCCUUCUGCAAGAAGCACAAUAUUGAGCCUAGGGC